ACAGACAGACAGACAAACAUUGGGAGGAAAAAGGAGGUGUCAAAGACCACUUUGACCAAGAAUUACUUCCAGCUUUCAAAUAUAUUGAGAGAAGCAUCAUUCUAAUUAGGCUGGGCCAUGGAAUAUAUCAUGGCAUUAAGGAAGCAUGAUGAGAGAAGGAGAAUAAAUUUGGUAACAAAAUGUUAGCUUUUUAUUUUGAUGGGGGAAGUGGCUGAUGUAUUUUGAUGUGGAAAACUGUUGCAUUUAUUUGACAUAUACAUGAUUUUAAUGACUAAUAAAUUAAUAGGAAAAAUAUCACUGACACCAACAUUUUUCUUUUGAACCUCUUCUUGUGAGGUGUUAUUAAGGAAAUGAGAUCCCUUAUACAGCUCCAUUCAGAAGGACCUAAGAGGUGCAGUAGACACUGAGUGUCAAGCAUCAAUUCAGAGGCUUGUAAUGAAAUGGAUAGUGAGAGAAAAACGCGGAGCUACACAGCUGUAUGCCUCCUCUCCGCCAUCUUAACCGGGACUACAGAUUUAUACUAGAUCAAGCCUCUGAACCGGUUUUGGAGUGACAGAACCCACAAAUAAUUGGAGUGUAACAAAUUUCCAGCAGAAGAUAUUUUGGAAAAACUUCAUAAAAGGACAGAGUGUGCAAGUCAGAUUCUUUCAGGUGAGGAAGAGACAAAACCAAUGGAUCCCCAGCUGGGAAAUAUGAUGAGAAACACCAUUGGUUUGUGGACAACAUCAUAUAUACUGUGUACAUUCAUCUUUUUCACCUAUAUAAAAAGGCUUCAGAAAAAACACUCUUUUGUGGCACAUGCAUGGGAUGCUGUCAGUGACUUAUUCAAUGGAAGUGGGUGUUUGUAUUUGUUAUUUGUGGACAAAGCACAGUUGUCCAGGAAUUAUUCCUAAGGAGGAUUGGAUAAACUGGUGUUCUUGGAUCCUCAUUUUGAUCUUCAUCCUAAUCUUAAUAAUAUUUAUUUUAAAAUUUAUAAUUUGAUAUUUUUCUUCUUUUUUUAUGAUACUGCUUUUUUCAAUGAAUUUCACCAAUAUUGAGAGUAUCAUCUUUUUGAUGCCUAUAUUAAGGGUAUUUUUUUUGGUUUUUCUUCCCUUCAUUCUUUUAAAGUAGAGAACUGUUCCUGGGGCAAAGUGGUCAUUAUCCCCAGCUUCCUGUCCAGCUCUGAGCCUUGGCUUUGAAUACAGGCACCCCUUGUGUUUGCAGGGGGAAGCUUUGCCUGCUCUGUUCAGGAAACAUCCUGAUUUCCCAGAGUUUGUCUUCUAACCUGGGACUGGAAACUCCCUUCCUGCUGUGCUCCUCUACUGAGCCAGGACUGGCGGUCUUAGUUGCUCAUGUUCUGUGAUGAAGACCCUCUCUCUGGCUUUCCCACAGUCUAUCUGAGCUGACCUGAACCCCCUUUUCACCCCAGUGAGACUGACAUUUCUUGAAGUUUUUACAGUCUAUCUUGAGCUGGAGAGCGGUUUCAUUCCAUCAGACUCUAUUCAGAAGUUUGGUUUCAUGUGGUUUUCGAGGGAGAACUCAAGCUGCUUCCUAACUUUACAAUCUUGGCUCCAUCUCAGAAGUCUUUUCUUCCCAUUCUUAUUUAAAGCAUUGAGUUCCAAAUUCUAACCCUCUCUCCCUUCUUCCCUGCCCCCCAAGAUUGUAAGUUCUUAUAUAUAAUUUACAUAUACACAAUUAUGUAAGGACAUUUGCACAUUACUCCUUUUGUAUAAGAAGACUCAAAUAAAAUAAAAAUCCAAUAAAGUAAUAAGUUGGAUGGUUCA